rnacentral:misc_RNA from 1 species
AUGCAUACACGCAUAUCUGACCAACUGAACAAGCAGUAACAGUUAGCAAAUUCGGAUAAAAUGUUAAGGAAUUACGAAUUGAUAUCUAAAAGCAAUUAAACAUACUAUCAGAUAAUACACAAAGCACCCAAAACCCCAAAAAGUGAACUAUCCUCAUUCCCCACCAUAAAAGCACUGCACAACAGAAACAAAAGGUAGACUGACAUUUUAACACGACCAAAAAUGAUUCAACUAAUAAAAGUCAAACUGAAUACAAACCCUAAAUAAAGAAACAGACCUGGAUGUGAGAUACAUAUACUCACAUUGAAACUCAAAAUGGAAUGGUCUGGCAUGGCAUGCAGGUAAAAGCGUCUCAAAAUAAGUCCAAUUGAGUAAACAGAACAAAAAAAUGAGAAA